UACGGGGGGGGCAAGCGUUGUUCGGAAUUACUGGGGGUAAAGGGUUCGUAGGUGGCUUGCUAAGUCAGACGUGAAAUCCCUCAGCUUAACUGGGGAACUGCGUCUGAUACUGGCGAGCUUGAGUGCAGGAGAGGAACGCAGAAUUCCAGGUGUAGCGGUGAAAUGCGUAGAUAUCUGGAGGAAUACCGGUGGCGAAGGCGGCGUUCUGGACUGCAACUGACACUGAUGAACGAAAGCCAGGGGAGCAAACGGG
rnacentral:rRNA from 1 species